rnacentral:rRNA from 1 species
UACGUAGGGUGCGAGCGUUAAUCGGAAUUACUGGGCGUAAAGUGUGCGCAGGCGGCCGCGCAAGUCGGGGGUGAAAGCCUGUGGCUCAACCACAGAAUUGCCUUCGAUACUGUUUGGCUUGAGACCGGAAGAGGUAAGUGGAACUGCGAGUGUAGAGGUGAAAUUCGUAGAUAUUCGCAAGAACACCAGUGGCGAAGGCGGCUUACUGGUCCGGUUCUGACGCUGAGGCGCGAAAGCGUGGGGAGCAAACAGG